rnacentral:rRNA from 1 species
CCUACGGGUGGCUGCAGUGGGGAAUAUUGGACAAUGGGGGCAACCCUGAUCCAGCCAUGCCGCGUGUGUGAAGAAGGCCCUCGGGUUGUAAAGCACUUUCAGUGAGGAAGAACGCCUGGUGGUUAAUACCCAUCAGGAAAGACAUCACUCACAGAAGAAGCACCGGCUAACUCCGUGCCAGCAGCCGCGGUAAUACGGAGGGUGCGAGCGUUAAUCGGAAUUACUGGGCGUAAAGCGCGCGUAGGUGGCUUGAUAAGCCGGUUGUGAAAGCCCCGGGCUCAACCUGGGAACGGCAUCCGGAACUGUCAAGCUAGAGUGUAGGAGAGGAAGGUAGAAUUCCCGGUGUAGCGGUGAAAUGCGUAGAGAUCGGGAGGAAUACCAGUGGCGAAGGCGGCCUUCUGGACUGACACUGACACUGAGGUGCGAAAGCGUGGGUAGCAAACAGGAUUAGAUACCCUUGUAGUC